rnacentral:lncRNA from 1 species
CAUUUCCCACUAAUUAUUCACGGUUAAAAAAAAUCUCUGAAGAGCUGAAGUCAGUGAAGGAGAAAGGAAAACAACUGAAAGUCAGACUCCUUGGAUGUAGUUCCUCACAUCUAGUAUUAAAUAUUCAUUGUAUUGAAUUCUUACUUUUAGAAGGUUUUACUGCAAUUAAUACUACUUACAGGCAUAGCUACUCUGUGUUGAAAGAAGUUGAUUGGUCUUACUGGGACUUUUAAGCUUAAUUCCUUAGGGUCUGCAAAAGGCUACUUCUGUUAUGGCUGGCUUUUCACCUUUGUGGUUGUGGUCAUCCUGCAUAUCCUGUCCCCUAUUUAAAAUGGUUUCUGUAUCUUGCUUCAAGUUUUAAAAAUAGUGGUCCAAUUUUAGCACUUACACUGCACAGAAGGGCUGGAAAUUAACAGUCCUUGUGUUGACCUUGCAUUUUUGGCCAUGCCCAUUUAAAUUUAUAAAACUUAUUAAUUACAAAAAAAUUCUUUUGCCCUUAAGCAAAACCAGCACUUAUUUAAAAAGCAAUGUACCCAUAUAUUGUUGUUUCUAAUUUUUAAAGCUUUGUUUCUAUAUCUAAUAAACAUAAAUAUGUCACUUUAAGUCCUUUAGCAUUUAAUUGACACAAACAGAAAAUACAGAAUAAUCUUCAAGAUAUACUCUUUUCUUUUAUGCUUUUGUUUUUUGCAGUAUUGAAGACUAAACCCAGGCCCUCAUAUGCGCUGGGCAAGGGCUGUACUGCUGAGCUGCAUCGCCAAUACGUAUACUCUUAAAGUAACAAAGCAAGAUCCAGAAAAAGCAAAAAGAGAGCUAGAUAACAAAGAGCCAAGCAAAACAGUGGUUUGUGGGAAAUGUGCCACCAACAGACAAGACGAGUUUCUACAUUUCUGCACAGCAAAGGAAUCAAUUAGUAGAGUGAAGAGACAACCUACAGGAUGGGAAAUAACUUUUGCCAGCUAUUCCUCAGGCAGAGGACUAAUAUCCAGAAUAUAUAAAGAACUCAAAAAAUUUAGACCACCUAAAAUAAAAGAAAUGGGCAAGUGAAAUGCACAGACACUUCCUAGAAGAAGAUGUACAAAUGGCAACAAAUAUAUGGAAAAAAUGUUCAACAUCUCUGGCCAUUAAGAGAAAUGCAAAUUAAAACAACACUAAGAUUCUAUCUUACACCAAAAAGAAUGGCAAUCACAAAGAAGUACAAAUGUUAGCAUGGCUGCUGUGGACCCACUGUUGGUGGGAAUGUAAACUAGUACAACCAUUAUGAAAGAUAAUAUAGAGAUUUCUCCACAAAAUACAAUUAGAAAUUCCAUAUGACCCAGCUAUUCCCCUUCUAGGUAUCUUCUCCAAAGAGCUAAAGACAUUAUACUACAGCAAUACAUGCAUACCAAUGCUUAUAGCAGUAUGAUUCUUAAUAGCUAAAUAUUUGAAGCAGCCUGUAUACCCAUCGACAGACAACUGGAUAAAGAAAAUGUGGGAUACUACUCAGCUAUAAAGAGGGAUAAAUCUGAGCCAUUUGUAGGAAAAUGGAUACAUCUGGAAAAUAUAUUGAGUGAAAUAAAUGAGAUACACAAGCAUAUAGUACCCUCAUUUGAGUAAGGCAAAAUACAAACAAAGAGCACAAUAAAGGACGUAUAGACCGAGACAAGAGGAUAAAUCUCUUGCAAACGAGAAGGGGUCCAGGAGACAGAGGGCAAGGGGAGAGAAGGUGGGGAACACCGUGGUCAUCUCCACAGCUAGCCACAGUCAUCACAUUGCUGCGCAUUUGUACACUUGGGCACUAACUUGGGGCUGGCAUUUGAUGGCUGUUAGAGUUACUACCAAUAUUCUUUUACUUAAAAGCUUCAAUAUAUAGCUCCUAGUAAGGGAGCUGAAAUUCAUUCCCUAGUAAGGGAGUUUAAAUCCAUUCACAUAUUCAACAAAUACAUAUUAGUUCAGGGCUAAACUUGAAGAUUUAAAAAUAAACAAGAAUUAUUAUCUUCCAGAAACUCAUAUAAUGCUUAGCAUGUUCAACUGUAAAUGCCUAAAAAGUUUAAUUAAAACUGACGUUUUUGUGGAAGACAUAAUCUUGUGAUACUUUUCUAAUGAAAAUAUAGAAUCAUUCUCUAAUUCAUUUUCUAUUCAAAUCUGGCUUUAAAUAUUUUAUAUUUAAUAUUUAUAUCAUUUAUUAUAGUGGUUACUCCAGGACAUAUCACAUAUCACUAUGGGCUGGAAGUUUCUGGACUAACUAUAAUCAAAUUAUCUGUAUUAUAUGAGAUGGCAAUGCAAGAAGAAAGGCUAAAGGGCUAAAAUACAUGCACACUGACACAUACACAAGUUUUUAAAAAACAAUGACCAAAGUCUCAAAGAACACAGAAACAGAUGUUCCUCGAAAAUCAGUCUGUAGAGAAUUCAUGCUAAGACAAAACUAUCCCUUUCUCCUAUUAAAACAAACUGGAAGUUGGAGAGAUGCAUAACUCAAAGCAGAACACCAAUGUAAAAAUACGUGGUGAGUCAGAAAUGGACUCAACAAUAGACCCUUUAAAAGGUUAUAUAAUAGAACUUAGAAUAAAUAACUCCCAAGAAAGGAUAUCAAAUUGAAAUCAAAGGUGCUGGCACCACACCUUCACUACUUCAUAUAUGAGAUUUGAUCAUCCAAGCACAGAGAUUCAAAUGUGACAUGACUUGUACAACUGAAUGAAUAGAUAAACGUACAGAGCCACGGUUGCUUAUUGAAUGGUUAAGUACAAACGUCAAGGAAAACAAAACACACACAAAAACCCAAAAAAUAGUCUCCUCUCACAAGGCCCUUGUCCUAGAGUUCCUUCUAUUAUCCCCAGCUAACACCAAACAAGUGCUAUUCAGCUUUGAAAUUCAAACACUUUAAGUGUAGCAGUAUUGAAGGGAUGGCCUAGGCAAAGAAUGGCAAUAUGUAAAUUUGGCCUCACUUCUGUCCCUCAGUCCUUCCACUCUGUGCUCACAGCUCUACCCAAACAGAUACAGUGGACCCUCGAGUUACAACCAGCCUGACAUACACACAACUUGGGUUAUGACUGGAAGUUUAGUUUUAACUUAUGAAAAAAGUUUUGAGUUAUGACCCAAAUGCUGGCCGCUUGUGCUUCCAGAUGGUCUCAGAUACAGCUUGAACCCUUAAAGAGUUCUAGAAGGAACAUUACAACAUCCUUUCCCAUGUGGAGUUAACUGAGAAAUCCUUGGCCAAUGUCUCUCUGAGGACACUGAGAUGUGCCUGUAUAUAUAAGAGAGAGACUUUGAAGGCUGUGUAGAGGAGCCUGAGUCUUCAGUUGACCAAUCUGAGUUACCAACCAGCCCUGAUGAGCAAAGUGAAUUCGUAAAUCAAGGAUCUACUGUACACUUAUGGGUUUGCCAUGCUUUCAAUGUUCCCCACUGCAGCCUGUCUACAAGUAGGAAAAUCUUUGGUUCUUUGUCAACAGAGCUAAGGUUAGUAAUUUUCUUAGCUGAGCAAUAAGAAACUAUACAAAGUGGAACUUACUGAUAAAAGCAUAGUAAGUAUCCACAGGAGAUUUUGAUUAAAACCAUUUGAGGGAGGGCUGGGGAUUUAGCUCAGUGGUUCCACUGCCUGCCUUGCAAGCGCAAGGUCCCGAGUUCGAUCCCCAGUACCAAAAAAAAACCAUUUGAAGGUAUAAAAGACCAAGCCCCUAGUACUUUACUGAAGCUUCAAAUUCUUUCUAAAUUCAACAUUAAAUGACUAUUCCUAACCUGUAAACUCAGCAGAUUAGAAUCCACAGAAUACAAAUAAGUUCAUAUCAAGACAUACUGUCCAGCAACAGCCAUAUCCCCAAGUUCAGCAACACUUGCAUUCUAUUAGCCAUGAAUAUUUUUCCUGGUUCCUGAUCCUGGAUGAAAGAAGGAUUUGACUCUCCAGUCUUCAUCCAUUUCCCUCAUACAUCCGUGCUGCCAGCCGCCUAGAAAUCUAGUCCUUGCCUCUAAGCCUACAAGGAUCAUGCAGGGAAAGUCUAAUGUGUGAUUCAAGCUACACAGGGGCUAUGAAGAAGAAGCACAUCAAAGGGCCACUACUACAGAGCGUCAAUGAAUUAUUGCCAAAGGGAAUCAGGGCCAAGGUUGCUAUCUGAUUUUUUUUUUAUUAGUAUAUGUUUGCAGUAAACAAUGAUUAUAUUCAUGGUCAGGAACUGGUACAUGUACAUAAGGAAGCAGAGAUCCAUAUUUUUUUUGCUUAAAUUCUUUUAUUGGUAUAUUUUAGGUAUACAAUACAUUUACAUUUAUUAUUGGGUGCCUGUACCUGUACAUGAUGCAUCUUGGCUCUUAUUUUUUCCCCAUUCCCUGUGAUCCCUUCCUCCCCUCCACCCUUCCCUAUUUACAAAGAGUUUGUUUCCAUUUUUUCCUUUUCUCAUAAUUUUUCCUUUCCCUUCUAUCCUUUCCCCUUCCCCUCCCAUUUCCCCUACCCCUCUGGACAUUUUCUUCCUAUUUCAAACUUUCAAUUAUUCGUUUUAAUCAUUUUAAUCCUUAUUUACACUUUCAGUUUCUCACACUAGAGAAACUAUUCGGUAUUUACACAUAUGUGUCCUACUUAUUU